CUGUAGUGAGUGCUGUGAGAGACAAACGCUUUAUGUGAACCGUGUUGGAUCGGCACUUUGUAUAAAUUUACAAAGAUCUAUUUUUUUUCAACUUCGUGCAGUCCUCUAAAAUACAGAACAGGUGUGUGGUAGUCAGGUUAAGUUGAGUUAGGUAAGAGUGAAUAAACAGCGACGGUAAUGACGUACAUAAGAAUGAAGGCUAUGAUAGUUUUGCCCACUCGAAUGAUGCGAGCGUAAUUCUGAAAAUUUAUCGAAAAGCUCCUCUUACUUUCGCCCUACCACUCCUCUGGUGCUUAUCAGACUGGCAUUUUUGUUCUCUCCAUAUCAUGUCCUACAACAGCAUAUUUGACAUGUUGCAAGAAAUGUAUCUUAUGGCACCCCGUGUUCGACAACAAUAAAGCAGAGGACUGUUGACGGCCUCCAUCAAAUCCCAACAGCAACAACAGCACGAUGCACGAAGGUUAAUAGCGCAGUUUUAGCACUUGAAGGAUGUAUGCGAUUGCUGGGCAAGGGGAAGAUAAGGCAGAGAGGAGAAUGGUUUGGAAGACAAGAGAGCAGCGUGUACAAGAACUUUCUCCAGUUGUCCCUAGACUCCUAGAGAAUGAGGGCUAAAGGCGAUGGAUGAGGCUGAGUAAACACUAGUUUUAUGAGAUUUGAAGAUAGUGAGGCCUGCCAUUGGCCGUGAUUUCACAGAUGGAUCAAACUGGGAGCUUCACCGCCACAGGCCACACGCCAUAAACAAACCACAGCACUUGAUCAAAGUUUCAUGUUCAAACUAGAUUUAUGAACUAUUAUUGAAAUGUACAGCUUAGUAUGCGAGUCAUAAUAUUGAUGAUACUUCCCUGCUCGUUCAUCUUCUGCUGUUCGUUCGUUCUUUAUGUAGAUAUGUUUUCCUCGUCCUCGUUCCUGUUAUCCUUGUCUUCGUUUUUGGCAUCGUCGUCGUUGUCCUCCUCUUCGUUCUCCUCUUCCUGCGCCUCCUCCUGAUCAAGUUCGGUGAAAGGUUACGGCGCGUCAGGAUCAGGUGUGUGUAGCUUUGUCUCAGGUAACACUACGCGGGGCAGGGCAGGGCAAGGCAGGCCGUGCACACCCCAUUCCUCCCUUCCCUGGCCCACAGCGAUUGUUCUCUUUAUUGGAAGUUUCAAAUAAGGUAGGCUCGAGAUCUAGAUGGAGUAUAGUUUAUAGGGAGACGGUCUGCGGGCCUUUGCUGCUUACCAUAGUUAUACAUACAUACAUAGAUACAUAUAUACUUACGUUCAUACAUACAUAUUCAUUUCAUUAUAAUCAAGUCCUUCCUCCCCACAUACUCAGCCUGUCUCUGUUUUCUUUCCUUUAUUAUUCUUGCGAUUAUGCUCAGGUUGAUGUGUUGAGCGUGUUGUUAUUCUAUUAUUCAACCUCCAUUUAUGUUCCUUCAUUGUUAUUAUGGUUAUUAUUUGUUUAUCCUUUUUCGCAUGAUGUCAUUUUCUGUUACUUCACCAUUUUUUUUUCUUUUUUUUUCAUAUACUGUUCUUGCGGUUGUGGUUCCCUUUCCUCUGCACGUUACGCUAUUACUCCCUCACCAUUUACGGCCAUCAGAUUUCAGGGUGAGGUCUUAUUGGUUAGUCAAUGAACACACCUAUGAUUAGUUAACUGGCGGUUUUGGUACGUACUUAAAUUUUUUCUUUUUUUUUUUUCUUUUCGACAGCCACUGACGAACAAGCUUAGGAAUCACAUAUGGGCUUAUAUCUCCGGUGGGACACGCCUCUAUGACAGGGCAUGAUGAGCCGAUUCCCCGCAGUUCACGUGACCCCGCAGCCCAAGACCUGACCAAGGAAGCUAGAGUGAUUUUGUUUAAAGCUUCCUUGGUCCUGUUGCUAUUAGUCAUGAAGUCAAGUAACCUGCACUCGCUCCCACUGUAUUUUGCAUUUUCCUCUCAGUCCUAGGUUCUCUGAUCUUCUGAUAGGUUAAUUACGGAAUAUGGCAAUUUGUAGAUUCUUAGCGAUCAGAAGACUAGGGAUUGAAGGAAUACAUUUGAAUACAGCGGAAGGGAGUGCGGUAUGUUGACUGACUGCCUGUCUCUUACCACCACCAUCACCACCACCACCACUGCCACAGAGACCCACCAGGAAGGAAGCCCGUAGUGCCACCCAACGCGUGUGUGCGGCGUGCGCCUGACGGGGUUCAAGGUGCGUCCCCAGCCACCGCAAUCAGGGAGCCACGGACACCUCGCAGCGGCUUCAGCUUCAUCGCACACAGCGCCGCCUUAUACGACUCUGGUCUUGACUGUCACCAGGUGAUGGGGCGUCGCUCAGCGUGUGUAGAGGAGAGUUUCACGCGGCGGGGGCGACUUCAAGUGCCGGUGGCUGUGCAAACACGUAUUGAAGAAGAGUAAAGUACACGCUGCAAACUCUGCACACAGCACCGGGGAGCAGAUCAAGAAGGUGGACUCAUGUACUGAAUUCCAAGGCAAGUACUUGCACGUACUUGAGCUCAUCCUUGCCGUGCGUGAAGGAACCCCGUGAUAUUUUCUUUCGCUUACUUGAUACCAGUGUACCAAGACUGCGAUGACAGCAUCCCGGCACUUAUGUGUUUGUAAACAGUUGCUGCGAGUGUACUGAGAGGCGCUACGGCUUACUCCCGGCACGUCAGAUUCUGUCAUACUUCACUCUA